UCGAGGCUGCUGGAAAGCGAACAAGCAAAGGAGGCGGGGAGCUGGCGAGGCGGCGGCUGCCUUCGCUCGACUGCUCGUUCGCUUCCCCGCGCUGCCUCGGGUCCGCCGCUGCGCUUCCUGCUCGCCGGCCGCUCAGUUGCACGCCGCCGGAGCAGCCGCCCUUCUCCGGGUCCCGGCUCGGCUCGGGAGUCGUGCGCGCCUGCCGACACCGCGCGGAAGGCGAGCCGGCGCCACACCUGUGGAGCCGGCGGCCGUCGAGGGUGCCGGCCCGGGUCCCGCCGCGUGCGUGCUCCGGGCCGUGGGCCGCCGGGGCCCCGGGGGAGUCUCGCUCCCUGGCUGGGCGCGGUGGGCACCAUGGGGCUCCCCGCACUAGAAUUCAGCGACUGCUGCCUCGACAGCCCGCACUUCCGAGAGACGCUCAAGUCGCACGAAGCGGAGCUGGACAAGACCAACAAAUUCAUCAAGGAGCUGAUCAAGGACGGGAAGUCACUCAUCAGCGCGCUCAAGAACUUGUCUUCGGCGAAGCGGAAAUUUGCAGAUUCCUUGAAUGAAUUUAAAUUUCAGUGCAUAGGAGAUGCAGAAACAGAUGACGAAAUGUGUAUAGCAAGGUCUUUGCAGGAGUUUGCCACUGUCCUCAGGAAUCUUGAAGACGAGCGGAUACGGAUGAUCGAGAAUGCCAGCGAGGUGCUCCUCACCCCCUUGGAGAAGUUUCGGAAGGAGCAGAUUGGGGCUGCUAAGGAAGCCAAAAAGAAGUAUGACAAGGAGACAGAGAAGUAUUGUGGCAUCCUAGAAAAACACUUGAAUUUGUCUUCCAAAAAGAAAGAAUCUCAGCUUCAGGAGGCAGACAGCCAGGUGGACCUGGUCCGGCAGCAUGUCUAUGAAGUGUCCCUGGAGUACGUCUUCAAGGUGCAGGAGGUCCAGGAGAGAAAGAUGUUCGAGUUUGUGGAGCCCCUACUGGCUUUCCUGCAAGGCCUCUUCACCUUCUAUCACCAUGGGUAUGAGCUGGCCAAGGACUUCAGUGACUUCAAGACGCAGUUGACGAUCAGCAUCCAGAACACAAGAAACCGCUUUGAAGGCACCAGGUCGGAAGUGGAAUCGCUGAUGAGGAAGAUGAAGGAGAAUCCCCUCGAGCACAAGACCAUCAGUCCCUACACCAUGGAAGGGUACCUCUACGUCCAGGAGAAACGUCACUUUGGAACUUCCUGGGUGAAGCACUACUGUACCUAUCAGCGGGAUUCCAAGCAAAUCACCAUGGUACCAUUUGACCAAAAGUCAGGAGGAAAGGGGGGAGAAGAUGAGUCAGUCACUCUGAAAUCCUGCACACGGCGGAAAACAGACUCAAUCGAGAAGAGGUUUUGCUUUGACGUGGAAGCAGUCGACAGGCCCGGGGUUAUCACCAUGCAGGCGUUGUCUGAAGAGGACCGCAGGCUCUGGAUGGAAGCCAUGGACGGCCGGGAACCUGUCUACAACUCCAACAGAGACAGUCAGAGCGAAGGCACUGCACAGUUGGACAGCAUUGGCUUCAGCAUCAUCAGGAAAUGCAUCCACGCUGUGGAAACCAGAGGGAUCAACGAGCAGGGGCUCUACCGGAUCGUGGGGGUCAAUUCCAGAGUGCAGAAGCUGCUGAGUGUGCUGAUGGACCCCAAAGCGGCUGCUGAGACAGAAGCAGAUAUCUGUGCCGAGUGGGAGAUCAAGACCAUCACUAGCGCUUUGAAGACCUACCUAAGAAUGCUUCCAGGACCCCUCAUGAUGUACCAGUUUCAAAGGAGUUUCAUCAAAGCAGCAAAGCUGGAGAACCAGGAGUCUCGGGUCUCUGAAAUCCACAGCCUUGUCCAUCGGCUCCCAGAGAAAAAUCGGCAGAUGUUGCAGAUGCUCAUGAACCACUUGGCAAAUGUCGCUAACAACCACAAGCAGAAUUUGAUGACCGUGGCCAACCUUGGCGUGGUGUUCGGACCCACGCUGCUGCGUCCUCAGGAAGAAACAGUGGCAGCCAUCAUGGACAUCAAGUUUCAGAACAUUGUCGUUGAGAUCCUCAUUGAAAAUCACGAAAAGAUUUUCAACACCGUGCCUGACGCGCCCCUCGCCAACACCCUGCACCUGUCUCGGAAGAAGAGCGGUGACUCCAAGCCCCCGUCCUGCAGCGAGAGGCCCCUGACGCUCUUCCACACCACGCAGUCCACAGACAGACAAGAACAACGAAACAGCCUCAUCAACUCCAGCUUGGAAUCUGUGGUCUCAUCAAAUGCAAACAGCAUCCUGAAUUCCAGCAGCAGCUUACAGCCCAACAUGAACUCCAGUGACCCAGACCUGGAUACGCUCAAGCCCGCCCGGCCCAACUCACUCCCCCCGAAUCCAAGCCCAACUUCACCCCUCUCGCCAUCUUGGCCCAUGUUCUCGGCGCCAUCCAGCCCUAUGCCCACUUCAUCCACGUCCAGCGACUCAUCCCCCAUCAGGCCAGAAGAAGCGGUUCGUGAAGACUCCAGGUAAAAUCACGGAAGAUGACCAAUCCGUUCCCGUUUCUCCAAAGCCAGUCAGGGAUGCCGUGGGGCCAGCCUCUGCCCGCCGGGGGUCCCAGCCUCAGAGACCCAAGCUGGGAGGGACCCUUUGCAUGAAGCAGCAUGGCCAUUUCCAUGCCCUUCUGAACCCUUCCUCUGGCUACUGGAUUAAUCUCUGUUGCCUGGAGUUUGGGGAAAGAGUGCCUCUUCAUGGGCUCCUGUGUGGAUCAUUGGCUACACUGUGGGGCUCUCUGUGCUUCAGCAUCAGAUCCUAUCAAAGGCAGCAGCCCCGAGACACAUACCAGCCUCCUCUAACCUCAUGUUUAUCAGGUAGCAUCAGGCAGUGUUUAUCUGUGGGGUUGGGUUGUCGGCCAUGCGUUACUAGCACGUAGUUGCUGAGACCCAGACCAGUGGGGAGAGAGACGCAUAUAAGGCAGAAUAAAGGCUUAGGAUGUGGAGUAGUUUGGGGCCAAAUUGUUGCCGGCUGCCUCCUUACUUGCCCUACAGUCCCAGGAAGGCUCGGUGCUCCCAGCCCACUUCUGUCUCCACGUGUCAUGAACCCUUAGCGCUCAGGCAAACGGGUGACACCUCUUUCUGAGGGCUGACCUGGUUCCUGUCCCCAAGGGCUGUGCUGUCGUCCUUCCCCUGCGUUGAGGGCGCCCAGCCUUAAUUCUUUGCAUUUGUGUUCUUGGGAGGAAAGGAUCCUGCAGAAUCCCUCUGCUGUGUAGACCCCGAGCACCUGUGUCUCGAACUUAGUCCCUCCUUGUAGACGCAGCCAAACUGCAGAGCCCAGUUAGAAGCAUCAUUUUGGGCCUUGGCAGUAUUUUCUCAUCCCUUUUUUUUUUUUUUUUCUCAUGGAUGAUUUUUUUCCCCGAAGAGAUGGGCCCAGCAGAGAGGCGUCAAUAAUUUAUAAUACUGAGUGUCACUUUUUACAAAAGAAACCCCAUGCUAUUUAUACAUAUAGAUAUGGACAUCUGUAUGCAUAGACAUCUAUGUAUACAUACACUAUUUUUAAAUAUACGUACGUAAAACUUGAGUCUCCUCCAGGCACUUCCACAUCUAUCAUUUCAUUCUGUCCUCCUGUGAGAAUGAGAGAAGAAAUAUGGCCUGAACCCUGUUACAGAGAAAGAAAACCGUAAGGCACAGAGAAGUGACUAAUACACCGUCACAUGACCAAUGAGAUCCAGUCUAGAAUUCAGGACUCAACCAGCACUCUUUCCUCCAAACACAUGGGCGACCCCAAAUUUAAGUCUCCCUGUUUCCCAGCCUCAGAGCCUGGGCUGCUCCUCUAGAUUUUCUGUCUAGCUUUGCCCUUGAAGAUGGAAAAGGUAGUUUUUCACUAUAUUCCUACAUCCUCAUCCUGGAAAUAAGGUAAACAUUCAGAUGAUACUUUCCUGACACCCAGGUUAUUUCCUAAUUAUUUCUCAGGCGUGUCCUGGGCACUUUGAGAAAUGUCAACUUUCUAGGAGACCAGAUGUGGCUUGGAUUGUUCUGGUCAGAUCACUGAUUACCCCGUGAAGACCUGAACCAGAGCCAACGACAGGGACCAGCGAGAGUCACCUCUCACACCGCCUCCCUCAUUUAUAAGAGAGGCUUUGGCCUUAGGAGAAUGUGGUUCCUUGACUUUGAUCGAAAGGAAGUCCCAUCUUCAGAACACGGGCCAUUGGACAGAAUGGCUCGGGGUACUCAGGACACUAGCAUCAGUCAGCUGGAAAACUGACCUGUGCUCUGCUUCAACAGUGUUUGCUUUCUUACAUCUCAAAGCUUUGGGGCCCUAGUGCCUGUCCAGCAUCGGCACCUCUCCACGCCCUUCCAUCUCCAAAGACAUUGCCAGGUUUUACCUCUCUAGCUACCCCUUUUCAUCUCCCAGAGUGUUGGCCAAUUGAUACAGGACCGUGGCAGUAGAGGCUGCUCACCCCACGUGUUUGGGUUCGUGGUUACUCAGUGCUGUUCACGCUGGCCAUCAUUAUAAAGGCACCAUGUGGACAACGCUCUUCCGUCACCCUCUAGGAAGCUGCCAUUUUGAAACAGGCCAGGCAGAGUAGGGCUCAGAGUUGGCUGUCACCGAGCGGACUCUGUGUGCCAAGGUGAACCCGAUGGGGAGACAGACGACUGGGGAGCUGGCCAACCGAGGGCUGAGAGCCCCUGACUGCUGUUGCAGUGUCCAGCCAAGAGGUGGGGUCACACACCCAUUAUUCAGGACCAUUCCCCCACAUCCUCUUCCAGAACAGGAAGCUUCAGAUUUCCUUCCCUGGGCAGAGCUUUUAGAAAUAAAACCUUAAUGAGACCUAAUUGAUGGGCCCGUGAACUUGGGUGCGUCUCUGCUGGAAGUGGCUUCCUCCCACCUCUUCACAGUGUUGUUGGUACUUGUUAGUUCAGGCUCAGAAAGGGAGAUGCCUUCACAGCACAGCAGAGAGAGGGGCCUGCAGGAGCAUUUUGACCUGCACCUCAAGAGAAGCUCCCAGCCCCAAACCAGAAGCUGGAUGCCCACAGGGGCUCCUGGAAAUGACGCCUAAAUGAUCAGGCUCUGCAGCCUGCUGGUCUUGCUGAGCCCAUCUCCCUGCAGUGGAGAGUGCGUUGUCACUUUGCAAGAUUUGCAAGGGCGUCUGCCGGAAACUCCCCAGAAUGCUUUCCUGGCUCCACGCCAUGCUCAGAGGUGAAAAUUAAAAAUGAACUAGCAGAAGGUUCUAAGCUCCUUCACGCCCCUGAAGGCCUAGUUGAGGCCCAAAGGGUGCUGUCACGGGAGAAUCAGAGGCACCCCAGGCUCCCUGUGUCCAGUGUUGGUGCAGGAUAGGGAGCUAGGGAACCAAAGAACCAAAAUGCUUGGUGGACUUUUUAUCUCUUUACUCAGAGCCAAAACCUACAAACAACACCUUUGUGCCAACAGAUCUGUUUUGAUAAUAAUUUAAAAAAAAAAAAAAAAAAAAAAAAAACCCUGCCUCACACCAACCGCUCAGGGCUUUUGAUGGGGACAGAGUGUGGCCUGGGACCCUGGACAGACUUACAGAGAGAAGGCGUCCCCCUGAGUAGGUCUGCCAGAUGGAGCAAAGAAAGUGAAAAUACCCAGUUACAUUUGCAUUGUACAUAAACAACAAAUACGGGGGGUUUUUUUAAGUAUAAGUAUAUCCCAUGCCGUUUGGGGGAUAUACUCAGACUAAAACAGUAUCCCUCGUUGAUCUGAGGUUCACAUUUAAUGAGAUGCCGUGUAUCUUAUUUGGCAGCCCUGGUCCUGGGCACAGGAGUAGCCCCGUGUAAAGCACCUCUUCUGUCCUCUCUCCAUCUGAGUGACAUCUCACGGGGGCAGGAGGACGUCUCAGGGGAGGAAAGACCCCGAGGCCUGUAGGUCACCUCUUCCCAUGAGGGGAAAGCAAGGCCCUUUCCUGACCUUUGGUUUUGUCUUAACUAUGCUGUUUUGUUCAAUAUUCUUCAGUUUCCUCCUGAAGGACAGACCCCUGAGACCAUUCCCUCUGCCUCCUUCCUGCCAGAUACCCCAGUCCCUCUCCCCGGCUGGCCCCUGUUUUGCCCCCUUCCCUGUAUUUGAUGAGGUUAAUAAGUAACCACUCUCAAAACCCAGCUGGAGGAGCCUCUGUAACUCCCCGUCCCGGUCUCUUUCCUCUCUCCUCACCUGCUCUGCCCUGUCCUCAAGGGACGGUGACCCCGGAGUCUCCUCCCCCCUCCCAUGUCACAACAGGCUCCACUUGCCUGCCAGUACAGAGCCUGGGCUGCUUUAACCACAGCAGUAACAGAACUUGAGUUAUCCAUUGGCUGUUUGGCCUUUGCUGGGCCACACUCAGUCCUGGUUUAGUUAGAUCACAGAAUGAGCCCCUUGUCCUGAACUUUAUUCUUUUUUUUUUUUUUUUUUUUUUAAUCUUUUUAGGGCUGCACCCACAGCAUAUGGAGGUUCCUAGCUUAGGGGUCAAAUCGGAGGAGGUGUAGCCGCCGGCCUGCACCACAGCUCCCAGCAACGCCGGAUCCUUCACCCACUGAGCAAGGCCAGGGAUCGAACCUGCAUCCUCAUGGAUGCUACUCAGGCACCUUUCUGCUGAGCCACUGCGGGAACUCUCUGAACUUUAUUCUGAUGUGAGUGAUAAUCACCCAGGAAGAGCCGGUUUCCAGGGGGAGCGGAUUCGUUCUGCAGGCUCUUCCUCCCUUCACUCCCUCCCAGCGAAUCCCCCUGAUGGCUCUCCCACUUUCCCAGCUGCCCCCCACCUGGCCAUCGUCUCCCAGCUACUAGAAGAUCGGAGAGAACCCCAGGAAACUGCCAAUUCUGGAUAUCCAUUUAUCUGAUCUUUCUGCACAACAGGUGCUUUGAGUCCCCUUCCCUUCAGCCUUCAUGGAACCGAUCCUCGAAGUUUCAGAUGCCUGGCUCUGGUAUCGGUUUCUGAACAUCGUGGCUCCUCUUUCCCAGAGGGAAGCAGGACCUGGGGAAGGAACGGAUACAUGGUGACCCGAGACGCCCCACCUCUCCCAGUUCUGUCUCAGUUUACCCGAGACCAGUCAUUCCUAUCUCAAUCUCAAUCGGCCCCCAGAAAUCAGGGCACCAUGGAAGUUUAGCAUCUCUGGGUCUUUAGGGCUCUCCACUAGCCAAAUAAAGUCAAUAAUAUGUAUCCCUUGAAUAAUUAUCUGCUUGCUGUUUUGUUACCCUGCCCUGCAGCCCCUAAAUCUGCUUCCUCAGAUGGCUUAGAGGGAGAGAGAGGCUGCUUUCAGCAAAUAAAGAACCAACUUUGGAUGGCAAAAGGUCACUUUUCUUAUGACACUUGAGAAGUCCAAAGACCAUCUAGAACUGGCUGGCUCUCAGAGCAAAAAGUGAUUUUCUACUACUUGGGACUGGCACUCCAGAACAUGGGUUAGCAGUCGGGGGCCACUGGGGCCAAGCCAGCCUGCCACCUGCUUUUUGUAAGUGAAGUUGUGAUGCAACACAGCCACACAAAUUCACUUACAUGUUGUCUGCAGCUGCUUCCGUGCUGCAGUGCAGAGCUGAGGAAGUGCAGCAGAGACCAUAUGGCCCACGAAGCCUAAAACAUUUACUGUCUGGCCCUUCACAGGAGUUUGCAAACCCCCUGCUCUAGAAGGAUGAUUCUCAGCCCUGGUGGCUCAUUAGCGUCCCUGGGAGAGGUUUACAAAAAUGCUGAGGCUUAUAUCUGCAAGACAGGCUAGAACCUAGACUUCUGCAUUUUUUAGGUUUUUUUUUUUUUUAAUUCCCUGGGUGAUUCUGAUAUACAGUGACCGUGCAUGAGAAAGACGCAAAAACUUGCAUCACGUCCCGUCCCUCCCUGCUCCCCACACAUGUGCACACCUGUAUGCCUGCACACAUGUGUGUAACUGCUCACACUCCCACUUUGUGUGUUCCCUGCCCCACCCUGGGAGCCCCAGCUCUGGAACCCUGAUCCACCAGCCCAAGGGGAAAUAAGCAGCAUUUGGAAGAGCUCAUGUCGGCCCAGGGCCUGGAGCGCAAACCUGGCCUCGCUCGAAUUUCUCCUUUUCGACUCACUGAGCAUUGCCAGUUCUCCGCAGGGUCUGUUGGGAGUGUUCUCCAGAGCAGCGUGGACGGUUUUUUCCUGCCUCCACUUCCCUCCUCCCCAGCUGGUCCUGCUCCAGAAAUGGGGCCCAGCCUGCCCUCCCCGUGUUCAGCUGCCAUAGCACCUAGGGACAGAGUGACCGUGGCACAAGGUGACCCCCACCAGAAGUAGGGUGUCUCCCGGCUUAUGGCUCUUCUCUGAAUGGUUCUCGGUUUGUUUUUUUUUAACUCCCAUGACCUUUGCAACUUUCCCACCUCCUGUUUUGCCAUCUGGCUGCCUUGCUAGGCUCUUCCCACGGCAGAGGGCUGGGUGGCUUGCAGGGAAGGGGAGGAAGACAGAUUGAGUACCUGGAGCUUUCUGGCGGUUUCUUAAAAAACGCUAAAGAAACUCCUGUUGUCCCCCAGCGUGCCGUUCCGGAAGGCAAAAGCCUUGUACGCCUGCAAAGCGGAGCACGACUCGGAGCUCUCGUUCACCGCCGGCACCGUCUUCGAGAACGUUCAUCCGUCUCAGGAGCCCGGCUGGUUGGAGGGGACUCUGAACGGCAAGACGGGCCUCAUCCCCGAGAACUACGUGGAGUUCCUCUAACCGUCUCCAUGGCAGAGCUGCUGAGCCCUCCGUGGUAUCCAUGACAACCGCUGAGUCCUGUGUCGUGGGCCAUUGCUCUUCGCCGCUGAGACCGGCAGGGUGACUGACUCUGCUGCUACGUGUCCACAUGAAUGUUUCCGCGAACUCUGGUGUCGCCAUCCCCGUGAUCAUCUCAGCCCGACGUGCGGUGAUACUGCAAGAAACAGUCGGACAUCCGCGGAGGAGCCCCGUGGAGUUUGAUAACCAAGAGAAAGGCUUACGGAGCCGCCUCUUUCAUUUAGUGCCCUAAAUGGGCAACGCUCAUGCGCUUUCAACAGUCCCCCCAACCCCCACCUGCUGAAAAAGGAAGUACGUGGGAGAUCAGCGUCCCCACGGAUGUGCGGUGUCGCAGCAUGUGCGCUGUAGCCGGGUCCAGCGGGGCUGGGCAUAGGCCUGAGGUCCAGGCUGGGUCCCCCACUUUGGUUUACUGGAGGCACUCUCUCCGCCCCGUCUCUCAGCACUUGAGGCCCGCAGUGCUCCAGGUGGCUGGGUCUGCUGGUUUGCGUGCAGGAUAGGGAGGGGUGAUGGCCCUGUUUACAGAAGGUCCAAUCUCUCACCAUCUCUCAGGCAGCCGCUGGCCCAGCAUCAGUAGAAUUCUGUCUAGUCCGCUCAUGUGAGGCAACACACGCACCCCCACGGCCCCCCUCCCAAGCUAGAACGUCUCCACCACCGAGGGCUGCCAUCACCUCGUCACCACGGCAACCCAACCUUCUCUAAAAGCAAACCAAAAAAUAACACACGCUGGACAUGACGUGUCUUGUUUUUCUCCACCCCCACCCCCCACCCUCACAACCACCUUUGGGUCGUUUCUCGGAUGCUUUUCCAACAACCUGAUGCAGAGGCUCGGGGCAUGAGAGUGGUCUCCUUGGGGGCAGACAGACUAGCAGCUGGGAACUCUUUCCUUCCUGACGGAUUGCAGCACCACCAGGGUAUAUUUGGAGCAAACUCUAGUAACCUCUUGCGAUUCGAUUACGUGCGGGCUUAAUAUUUCUGCUCUUCCACGCAAGCAGUGUUUGCUUUCUAGAGGGCAACCUGCUGCCUCCCAGUGGGUGACACCCUCCCUCUGACUCAUUCCUUCCCUUUCACCUGUCCCUUCCCCUCCUCACCCGCCUCUGGCCCAUCACUCUUAUCCCACCCCACCCCCACCCCCUGGCAGUGCCCUGGGCUGCCAAGCACUGGUGCCCUGGCAGUCUUCCAGCACACUUCCCGGCUCAGCCCAUGGCCUCUAGUUUAAAAGGACACACAUAUUCACUGCCACUCAGAAAAAGGGAAUGGUUUCUCAGGCUCUUGAGGCAUGAGACUAAUAUCAUAAGCCAUGGUGAUUUAGGAGGGCACUGUACCAUUGGGCCAUGGAAGGUGGCAUGGGUACCUCCUGAGAAAGAGAAUUUCCUGAUCCAGGAGGGGCUGGGCCUUGGGGAAGCCCACCUUGAGGGGGAAGUAUGGCCUGGACAUGUCGCGGUCACUUAGCCUCCAAAGAAGAGAGUCCCAGGAUCUCCCACGUUUGAAUGUCCCUGCAAGAGCGAUUCUGGGCAAACUCCAAAGUUAAGGGACUGUCACGCUCCCUAGGAACCCCUCGGGAUGGCAGCACCAUUCCAGAAUGUUUCCUGCUUCUGGAAUGCCUCUUUAGGGACCUUUCGAGAAGAAAAGGAAAACUUGAAUUGUGUUGAAUUACUGUAUCUUUUACUUUUUUUUUUUUUUUUUGGAAAAGAUAAACUUGUAAAUAGAGUGAUUUGAAAUACUAUAUGGCAAAGUUUUAUAUUUGAUAUUCCUUAAGCUUUGAUUGCUGAACAAGUGUGUACAUGAGGGAGAGAGAGGACGCAAGGCUGAAGAGAGUCAAGGCUGUCCCCUCUGGCCUCCAGGAAGGAGAAGCGAUUUCCACCCACUCUGUGCUGGCUCUUGGUGGUGGGCACGACGCAUUAACGGUGUUCAGUCUUCUUUGUCCAGCCGUGGUUUUUGAGCAUUUCUUGGCCUUUGGAUUUGGAGAUGGGAAGAGCACCUUCAGGCAAUGAACUUAUCCAAGAACUCCUACCCAGUAGUAAGGUGAAGCUCAGGAUUUAAACAGGUGAGGCCAGGGGGGCAGAUAUUUUUUUUUUUUUUUCAUUUUUCUUCUCAGGUGUAUUUCUUGGUACCCCGAGGUACUGGGACAAAAGAGGGAAUGAUUGCGUGUUCCUUCUGUCUAACGCUUCUGCACAUCUUCCAAGGCUUUAUAAAUGAGUCCAAGCUAGUUUGCAAAUAUGAUGUGUGUCUUCAGUUCUAAGAAAAACUAGCUUCUUAGGAUCUUGAGUUCUCGAUAUGCUGCUGCUCUCCUUUCCCUUAACAGGUUUGUGCCCUUCCUGUUCAUCUCAGAUGUCCUACAACCCUCAAGGAAGGGGGGGGGGGGAACCUCUAAAGAGGGAUGGAGAUUGUGCUAUUAGAGCUUUAUGGGCGGCUUUAAAGUUCAUAGGAGUUUGUCAUUGUGAUUCAUGCCAUCAGCUCCCGGAGUUCACAGCUGCUACCCAGGAUCUCACCCAGCAGCAAGCCAGACACUCCCACUGAAUCAGGGAGCAAACAUUAAGAUUGGAGAAGACGGAGACAGGCCUCACGGAGUACCCAAACAGGAAGGGGACAACCAGGCAGACUACACCUGCUCCCUCAGACUGGGAGCAGCUUGGGGACCUGUUGAAAGGGGCCAGGGGCCCAAGCACACUCUGUCUAUACCACUGGGCUUUCCAAAUAGAGUGCAACAUGUUGCUUUUAAAUCUUCACCUGCCCCUUUGAAACCUUAGCUAGAACCAAUGUGGAGCAGCCGGAAGGCCCGGGCCCUGGCUUUGGGAGUUGCUCUCUGGAGCGUUCCUGUCAACCGUCGGCCCCAGCUUGACCCCCCGGAAGCAGGUCCCUGCUCCUCACAUGGCCCUGAUCUGAAGCCGGGGGACAUGGAGCUGCUCCAGUGGCCCUUUUUAGGUAGACCCCUUGACGGCUUCUCUGGGCUGUGCUGGGCAGUGACAGGUGGCUGCCCUCCCUCCCUUCCCCCACCAGCUCCCCUCGCCGUCAGCUGCAGAACUGGAGACACUGUUCAGAAUGUGAGCCAACAGAUGAGAAGGGACUGGAAGACUGAAAACGGGCUUUCCCCACUCCGCUGUGUAUGCCCCCCGCCCUCCCUCUGCUGCCAUAGGCUUCUAGGGGUGUGAACUGGGUAUCGGAGGGGAAGGCUGUGGACCAAAUUCUGGGAACUUUCCCUCGUGUUUCUUUUGGAAGGCCCUGAGAUCAAGUGGGCUUACGUAGCCCGAGGGUUUUUUUUUGGUGUUGGGAUCAGCUCACUCCUCUUCCAGGUGUUCACUGAAUUCCUAGCUACAGAAAGCCAUAUGCCUUGAGAAGAUAGUUUGUUUUAAAUUCUCCCCUCCCCACUCCAAGUCAGUUCCUGACUUGCUCAAGACUGAUGAUAAUCUUCUCUAUUUUCAAACCUAAACAUAGAGAGGUGGCCCCCAGAGCACUCACUACGUUGGUAUCCUAGGAGUGGAGCCAGUUUUUGGCUUAGAGUUUUAGUAUUUCUACAGCUAAUAUAUGUGUUCUCCUGUCAGACUAAGUUGACUUGGUGUUUUGUUUUGUUUUUUCCAAUGUGGUUCCAAUGCAUCUCCUCUUACAGAGUGCAUUUUGGACAGAGAGGCAAAGAGAAAGAGAGAAAAUGAGCAGUCACGUAUUGGCCGACUGGCAUUAGCAACACAGCCAUUCUAGUGACAGGGUCAUUUCAGCAUUUGCCAGGACUCUGCAGUUAUGUGUGCCAGCCCUGUAACUUAAAGGGAAGUCCUUCUGCCAUCAGCGUUUGUAUCUCUUGAAAGCAACAACCCCUGCGACACCAAAAGCUCUGUCUUGACUGCAGAGGCUCCAAAAACAUCCAUGACUGGGGAGUAGGGAGGCAGAAACAAUCAACUAAAGAGACCAUGAUUGACACCAAGAUACCAUGAUCAACUAGUCAUGGCUGUUGGCACCUUUCAUCCUCGGGUUUCUGUCCAAAAGCAAGUCUAGACCAUGUGCUUUUAUAGACACAGGACUCCUAGGUACCAGGGUGGCUCUCGUGGGCCACUCACUGUUUGCCCUUGUGUUGAAUGUUUUAAUGAGCAGCCAUGUUCCCCAAGUAGGUAGCCAGCAUUAAGGAAACCAAACAGCCACUUCACUACCUGACUUUAGAAGGAAAGUCCUGGGGAUUCUAGGGCAUUAAUCCAUUUCUGGCAAGCUUGCCAGUCAUCAUUUACCUAGACAGCCCCAGCCCACACCUCUUUUAAGUCAACUGCCUGUCCUCCCACACACCCUGUGCUGGUGUCUAAAAAAUGUAUCUUUUCAUGCUCCAGUGUGUUUGGAGGCCCUGCUGGUAUGCUGGACCGCUUCUCUGUAAAUGUCACGUCCAAAUGACAGCAGCCGUAGAGUGACCGGCCUUUGCACAAGCCUCCAGCAGACCCGCGACCAGAGUCCAGCUUGUAAUAGCUUCCUUCUUUUCAUCACCUAUAGCACUUGUCUAACUACAGAGCUUCCCGAAGCAGAGGGAGAGGCCGUCCAGAAAGUCCAGACGUCAUUCAGAGCUGGCCCCUGCUGAGUGGUCUCCGUAGGGAAAGCCCAUGUGUUCCUAGGAGCGAAAGUACUAGGCGUAAAGCGAUGCUAGGAGCAGAGAGAGAAGGCAGACUGUACAAAACAACCGGGGAUUUUCUAAAAGAGGGACUAAUAUAGUUCUUAAUGGGAGGGAAUCCGUCACAUGAAACGGUCACAGCUAAGAUUUUUACGAAGGUUUUACAGGACACGACACGAUCAAAACAACUUUCAAAGUGAAAUGCUCUCGUGUGCAAAGGCUUGGCGCAGUCCUAGACCCACGUGAGUGAAGCCAUUGUGUUAGGUCCACAUUCUCUUUAGUGUUGUGGGAACCCAGAGCCGUGAUGACCAAGGGGUCAGGAGUACCCGGGGCAGAGCCAUCCAGGAGAGGCCAGGCCUGUGGACACUUCUCCAGUGACCAUUCCGACCAAGUUGUCCACGUAGACACCUUCCCAGAGCUUCCUGGGGUAUCCAGACAGCAGGGCCACCCUCGUACCUGUGAAAAGAGGCUUCUCUGAUGAUUCUUAACGUACACAUAUUAGUACGUGUUAGUGUAUGUGUGUGUGCCGCUCACAUUCACACAUGUAAAGAUAACAGACUCUUCCAGAAACCCACCUAAGCGGGCAGUUGCUGAGCCUUGACAGCCUUUCAGAUUGGAAGGUUGAGCAUUAGAGAAACAAGACAGGCUGUUGAUUGACUAUCAGAGCGAUCAAAGAUGUAAAUUAAGUGCCAUUUUAAGACAUUGUUCGUAUUUAUCGAAUGGUUACUAUCUACAGCUAUAUUCCUUGUUAACUUAUUAAGAGUCAUGUUGAAAAAAAGCUCAAACUCCUAAACGGUUAGUAGUUAAUAAGCACUCUAAAAGACAUUUGUCUCUAUUUUAGAGAAGAAAAUAUUUGCAUGUUUCAUUCAUAAUUUAGGCUACCUUUGAGUAUCUUAGAAAGUGCUGGGUGAUAGACUAUCAAUAAAGUACAUAAAAAUGGCACUUUAAUGUUUUUUUUUUAAACCAUAAAUGCACUGUUUUAAACUUCAGUAUUGAAUAUUGACUGGCGUGCAGAAUCCUAUUUCGUCAUUCCAAAGGAACUUGUGACUAGAACUUUUUCGCUGUCAUUCGUGAAGUAGUUUUGCCGUAUUCAGGCUUUAAAAGAAAAAAAUGUGCUUUUGUGUCACUGAGCAGAUCUUGAUACACUGUUUCUGUUGAGUGGCCUCUGAAACUUGGCUUUCUGUCACUUGGCUGGUUUACACGACAAUCCCUAUGAAAUGAGUGGAAGUAUGAUUUUUGAAUUAAACAACCUUUCCAUUUGGUGG